GAUGAACGCUGGCGGCGUGCCUAAUACAUGCCAGUCGAGCGAACAGACGAGGAGCUUGCUCCUCUGACGUUAGCGGCGGACGGGUGAGUAACACGUGGAUAACCUACCUAUAAUACUGGGAUAACUUCGGGAAACCGGAGCUAAUACCGGAUAAUAUAUUGAACCGCAUGGUUCAAUAGUGAAAGACGGUUUUGCUGUCACUUAUAGAUGGUUCCGCGCCGCAUUAGCUAGUUGGUAAGGUAACGGCUUACCAAGGCAACGAUGCGUAGCCGACCUGAGCGGGUGAUCGGCCACACUGGAACUGAGACACGGUCCAGACUCCUACGGGAGGCAGCAGUAGGGAAUAUUCCGCAAUGGGCGAAAGCCUGACGGAGCCACGCCGCGUGAGUGAUGAAGGUCUUCGGAUCGUAAAACUCUGUUAUUAGGGAAGAACAAAUGUGUAAGUAACUAUGCACGUCUUGACGGUACCUAAUCAGAAAGCCCCGGCUAACUACGUG
rnacentral:rRNA from 1 species